UGGAUCCAGACUUUGAUCAUGGCUCAGGAUGAACGCUAGCUACAGGCUUAACACAUGCAAGUCGAGGGGCAGCAUGGUCUUAGCUUGCUAAGACUGAUGGCGACCGGCGCACGGGUGAGUAACACGUAUCCAACCUGCCGUCUACUCUUGGACAGCCUUCUGAAAGGAAGAUUAAUACAAGAUGGCAUCAUGAGUCCACAUGUUCACAUGAUUAAAGGUAUUCCGGUAGACGAUGGGGAUGCGUUCCAUUAGAUAGUAGGCGGGGUAACGGCCCACCUAGUCUUCGAUGGAUAGGGGUUCUGAGAGGAAGGUCCCCCACAUUGGAACUGAGACACGGUCCAAACUCCUAUGGGAGGCAGCAGUGAGGAAUAUUGGUCAAUGGGCGAGAGCCUGAACCAGCCAAGUAGCGUGAAGGAUGACUGCCCUAUGGGUUGUAAACUUCUUUUAUAAAGGAAUAAAGUCGGGUAUGCAUACCCGUUUGCAUGUACUUUAUGAAUAAGGAUCGGCUAACUCCGUGCCAGCAGCCGCGGUAAUACGGAGGAUCCGAGCGUUAUCCGGAUUUAUUGGGUUUAAAGGGAGCGUAGAUGGAUGUUUAAGUCAGUUGUGAAAGUUUGCGGCUCAACCGUAAAAUUGCAGUUGAUACUGGAUAUCUUGGGUGCAGUUGAGGCAGGCGGAAUUCGUGGUGUAGCGGUGAAAUGCUUAGAUAUCACGAAGAACUCCGAUUGCGAAGGCAGCCUGCUAAGCUGCAACUGACAUUGAGGCUCGAAAGUGUGGGUAUCAAACAGGAUUAGAUACCCUGGUAGUCCACACGGUAAACGAUGAAUACUCGCUGUUUGCGAUAUACAGCAAGCGGCCAAGCGAAAGCGUUAAGUAUUCCACCUGGGGAGUACGCCGGCAACGGUGCAACUCAAAUGAAUUGACGGA
rnacentral:rRNA from 1 species